AGUGAGACACCACUCACAAAUCCGCCUCCUGAGGUUAUGCAGGAGAGGGGUGUAUAAUAACCCGGGAGGGCAGCCCGUGUGAGAAUGGAACCCAUACACCCAGGUUGAGGGGGACCGGACCGUGAUUCAUUUGAUUGUCACUGCUGAGAUUUCUGCAUGGACCAGUGAGAAGGGAAAACUAGAGACCAGGUUCGAUCCUGA